UGUAUUAAAGGGUACCGGUGACAGCUUUUGUACAUUUUAUUCUAAGAGUAAAGGGCCACAAUUUUAUUCAAGCCAAGGCGGGCCCCAUCCCGCUGAAAGCUGUGGGCAUUACAGCAGAACCAAAUCCAGCCGGGUCCCACCUGUGUCCAUCAGCUCAGCGUGAUUGUGAGAUGCAGAGAGAUAAUGUCGUCCAUCAGAAGCACAGCAACAAUAGCGCUUCUUACCGCUCCGCACACAAAGCCCGUUUCAGCUGGGAAUGACAGACGUCUGGAGACAUGUGGGUGGAAAAUGAUGUUUGACUGGAAGAACAUAGCCACCCAUCUCAGCAGCUGUCAAUCAACAUCACUAAAGUCAAAUAUUUCCAUGAGAAACUUGAGCGGAUUCAUUUUUGGCACAGCAAACUGAGCCCUUUAAAAAACACUUUCCUGGUCCUUAUUGUGCAUGAUUGACACAAAAUAAAAAAAUAACAGUCCAUAUUCCUGAAAAUGAUUUAUCUUUUUCUUAGGUAACAUCAACAA